CAGCAUUGUGUGGCCUUGGCUAAAGCUUGAUAUCUCUCUCUCCCUCGCUCUCUAUCUCUCUCUCUCUCUCUCUCUCCAAAUUAUCUCUUUUGGCCAAAUUCUACGUUUUAAUUCGCAGCUUGUUUGUCUGAAAGCCGAACGUUUCGCAGACACAGGGCAACGUUCUCCGAUUCGAAGUUUAAUGAGAAUCUCUCUGAUUCUUAGCUCAACAAGACGCUCUCUACAUAAGCCUUUCGAUUUUGUUCGCUGGCUUUGAAUUUCUGUUACUUUUCUCUAUCGAGCUUCUCUCUGGGGUUUCUGGGUUGGCGUUUUUGCGAGGUUGUUUAAUGCUCAGUUCGACUCAAUGAGAUUGCUCUCUUCCAAUACAAAUGGCCUCUGCUCCUUCCAUGUCUGUUUCUUUAGAAUGUGUGAACGCAUGUAAGUUAUGGAAAGGGGAUGGGAGUGGGAGAUAUGACUGCAGUAUCCUAUCCUGUGCGUGGAAAGCUCCGAGGGCCUUGACGGGCUUCCUUGCCAGCACGGCUCAUCCUCCUUCCCAAUCUUCUUUGUCAUCCAACGCACGGAAUGGAAGAAAAACCCGGAUUAACUAUAGAUGCGAGUCCUCUAAUGCAGGAGGUUGGUCUGGUACAGAUACUCCAGAUCUUGUGCUCCUUGGAAAACUUUUUAGAUCAAGUUUACUUCAUGUUGCUUGUAAAAGAUGGCAGUUGUGCUGUUCUUCAUCAUUCUUUUCAGACACUUCUGAUGAUGUUUCUCCUGAAAGUUUAUGGGAGGAUCUUAAGCCCACGAUUUCAUACCUUUCACCUAAAGAGCUGGAUUUGGUCCAUAAUGCUCUUAAGCUGGCUUUUGAGGCUCAUGAUGGUCAAAAAAGACGUAGUGGAGAACCCUUUAUCAUUCAUCCAGUUGAAGUUGCACGGAUUCUAGGAGAACUUGAAUUGGAUUGGGAAUCCAUUGCUGCUGGAUUACUGCAUGACACAGUUGAGGAUACCAAUAUUGUGACUUUUGAAAGAAUAGAGGAGGAAUUUGGUGCCAUCGUGCGCCGCAUUGUAGAAGGAGAAACUAAGGUAUCUAAGCUGGGAAAAUUAAAGUGUAAGAAUGAAAAUGAUUCUGCACAAGAUGUAAAAGCUGAUGACCUGCGGCAGAUGUUUCUAGCCAUGACUGAAGAGGUACGCGUUAUCAUCGUCAAACUGGCCGAUAGGUUACAUAACAUGCGUACUCUUUCACAUAUGCCUCCACAUAAGCAGACCAGCAUUGCAAGGGAGACAUUGCAAGUCUUUGCUCCUCUGGCCAAGUUGCUUGGGAUGUACCAAAUCAAAUCAGAACUUGAAAAUCUUUCCUUCAUGUACAAAAAUGCUGAAGACUAUGCUAAAGUCAAGAGAAGAGUUGUGGACCUUUAUAAAGAGCAUGAGAAAGAAAUUGAGGAGGCAAACAAGAUACUGAGAAAAAAGGUGGAGGAUGAUCAGUUCUUAGACCUAUUGACUGUGAAAACUGAAGUUCGCUCUGUAUGUAAGGAACCUUACAGCAUCUAUAAAGCUGUGCUCAAGUCUAACUGUUCGAUUAAUGAAGUUAACCAAAUUGCACAGCUUCGUCUUAUUAUAAAACCAAAGACAUGCAUUGGGGUUGGGCCGUUGUGCACUCCGCAGCAGAUUUGUUACCAUGUUCUUGGGUUGGUCCAUGGAAUAUGGACUCCUAUUCCUCGUGAUAUGAAAGACUAUAUUGCAACCCCAAAACCCAAUGGGUAUCAGAGCCUCCAUACAACCGUAAUUCCUUUCCUUUAUGAGAGCACAUUUCGGCUAGAAGUGCAGAUCAGAACUGAAGAGAUGGAUCUGAUAGCUGAGAGAGGCAUUGCUGCUCAUUAUAGUGGGAGAGUAUUUGUUACUGGUUUAGUUGGACAUGCUAUGCCUAAUGGUAGAAGUUCAAGAGGGAAGACUGUUUGUCUCAAUAAUGCAAACAUUGCACUCAGGAUUGGUUGGCUCAAUGCAAUCAGAGAAUGGCAAGAGGAGUUUGUUGGCAACAUGAGCUCUAGGGAGUUUGUAGACACAAUUACAAGAGAUCUAUUAGGUAGUCGUGUCUUUGUAUUUACUCCAAGGGGAGAGAUUAAAAAUCUGCCUAAAGGAGCAACUGUUAUUGACUAUGCAUACAUGAUACACACUGAAAUUGGCAAUAAAAUGGUGGCUGCAAAGGUCAAUGGCAAUCUUGUUUCUCCCAUGCAUGUGCUUGCAAAUGCGGAAGUUGUGGAGAUAAUCACCUACAAUUCACUUUCUGGAAAAUCAGCUUUUCAGAGGCAUAAGCAGUGGCUACAACAUGCAAAAACUCGUAGUGCCAGGCACAAAAUUAUGAAGUUCUUAAGAGAGCAAGCAGCACUCUCUGCUGCUGAAAUAACGGCAGAUACAGUUAAUGUCUUCAUAGCUGAUUCUGAAGAGGAGAGUGAAGCAGAGGAGCUGCCAGAUAUCUCCAAGGAUUUUAAACCCAUGUGGGAUAAAAUCAUCACAAAUACAGUAUACUUUGAAGGUUCCUUCCACAGUAAAAAUGGAAGUGCUAGGCAUCCUAAGAUCAAUGGGAAACAUAAUAAACAUAUUCAGCAUGCAAGUUUGAAUGUUGAAGGGGAAUUGUUGCAGGGAAAUGGUGUUUCCAGGAUGAUACAAGCUAAUAUUCCAAUGUACAAAGAGGUCUUGCCUGGUUUACAAAGCUGGCAAGCCAGCAAGGUGGCAUCUUGGCACAAUAUUGAGGGGCAUUCCAUCCUAUGGCUUUCUGUGGUAUGCAUAGAUCGAAAAGGCAUGAUCGCUGAGGUCACAGCAGUUUUGGCAGCUGCUGGGAUUUCAAUUUGUUCUUGUUUGGCUGAGAUUGAUGGGGGAAGAGGAAUAGCUGCAAUGUUAUUUCAUGUUGAAGGGAACCUUGAAAGUUUGGUUAGUGCUUGCUCAAGCAUUGAUCACGUCCUUGGUGUUUUGGGAUGGUCUAUGGGUUGCAGCUGGCCACGCUCAAUUGAUAAUUCCCAUUUUCUUGAGUGCUAAUUAAUUUGUGGAACUCGUAAUUCAUCCAGAAGUAGCAGGUUUGGCUAUGAAGUUUUGUCCUUGGAAAUUGAGAUAGAAUCCGUGAAGAUUAGAUUGUGGAUUAACAGCUUCAUUUCAUCAAUUCAUUAGAUACUCGCAACCAAAUAAACAUGCAGCAGGCAAAUAUAAUUCAGUGUUCUGUAUAUAGGCCUGAAGAGUGCACAGUUAAAGAGUUAGUAUACGUUUUGUAAAGAAGAUACUUGGGGGAGGAGAGGCUGGCGAGACACUUAUACAGAUGUUGUCAAGAAGUAAAGAUUAAUGUUUGCUACAUGAUUAAAUUCUAGCAAAGCAGAGCACUACAGGUCUGAAAACUGGAAGAGCAAACUAUCUCAGAACCUUCAAUGUUUUAUUUUGCUCUCCAAAU